AUAUAUUUCUCAGUUUUUUGUUCUGGAUUUUAUUUUUUUUCUUUCUCUGGCUGUGUACAAAAGUACAUGUAUAGGAGAUUUUUACAGUUCAGCUUCUCUGUGCCUUUUUGCGGGUAAAUCUCACCUUUGGUGCAAGUGCCCUCUCUGGUCAUCCGACACCAACACUACAGUCUAUUUGAUUGAAAUGCCAGUAUUAAUUAGUUGGGCUAACGUUUAUCUGGUGUGUACUUGGUCUGGAUCAGUUUUCUUGAUCAGCUUUGUCGGCUUUGUGGAAGUUAUUACUGUACUGCAAAGUUCACUUUUGCCUUGGAGCUUGUGCUUUCCUCAGCUUUCAGACAUUGCAAAAAAGGCAACCAGUCUCUCUUGGUUGAUCCUUUAAGGUGUCCUUGUUGUGUUUCCUUCUGUUUUGGGAGCCAUCUGCUUGUAAAAAUAAUUCCCUUGCAACUCAUUUAUCAAGAUGAAGAGGAAGGUACAUGUACAUGUAAUACUUGAUGCCAAGACAAGCAGGAUCUCCAAAGAGAAUUAAAAUCAGACAGUGUUAUUACACUGUAUAUAUACAGAUAUACUGUAAUACUGUAUAUAUUACACUUUAUAUAUACAGAAAACUUUUCCAUGAAAAGUUACCUCAACUGGAUAAGUUUCUGAAAAAGUGUGUUAUUGGUGUAUGUUUCUCAAUUUACGGCAAGUGUUUUUGACAUAAAAUGUGGAAUAAUUAGUUUUUUCGUUUUCAAUAAAUUUCCAAAAAGUCAUGGUCACUUACCGGUACGUUACUGUAAGUUACACGAAGGUACAUGUACAUUACACUUUUUUUUUAGUAAACCCAGUAAAUAGUUUAAACAGCAAAAAACUUUUUUUUAACAAACAAGUGGGACCAAUAACUACACUGAAGUACUAAGCAUUAAUAAGGCUCCUUUCUACCUGGAAGUAAAGAGGGAGUACUAUGGAAUAAGAGGCAGCUGUUUGUACCAAGUCUUAUGCAUGCAUACAUGUAAUCUUAUGAAUGUGACUACAAAACAAACUACAUGUAAAUAAUACAUGUAUCAUGUACAUCAUCAUUUGAUUGAAACGCCCUUAUCAUCAUUGUUUGUUGAGCCUCAGACAAUUCAACUCCAGGCUAUAUGUACAUGUAAAUAUACCACUACGGGUGCACGUUCUUACAUUUCAACGGAAAACUUGAAGUGUCAUCUCACAAGCUAAUGUGACUACACAACAAACUACAUGUAAAUAAUACAUGUAUCAUGUGUGGGAGGGGCGCUAUCUGGUGGGGGGUGCGCAUGAACAGACACACCAGAACACCCUGGGCUCGGAUCUCUACUGGUGUUAUUGCUCUAUUUAAUUUCAGUAGCAGACAGGCCAACAACGGAGGCGACGGCAAACAUGAGGAAUUAAAGAAAAAGAAACACAACUUAAGUUAAGUGUUCCUUCUAGGUGAAUGGCAGAAAUUAAACAUGUAUAAUCUGAAUGUAUUGAAAUGGCACAGUUUGACCCUAAAGUGAUGAAAUUGGAAAUGUCUGGAAAACAGUUUAUCUAUUCAUCCUUCCAAAUUGAUUAAUUGCCAAGAAAAUUAAAUUCACACUGUGGACUUCCUCCUGAUGGAAAUAACAAAGAGUUCACCCUAGUGUCAUUAUCCAAUCCUAAAAUUACAUGUACAUUGGAAUAAAGACGAUAAAUCAAUAUCCCUCAAGUACUGGGAAGAUUACUCUCUAAUUACUGUGUAACUUAGAGAUAGAAUCUAAUAUAAUUGAAGUCCAAUCAUUCCAAACAAUUUCAAAAUUAAAGCAAUAAUCAUCUCCAAUAAGCAAGGGAUUUACAUGUCACUUAAUCCUCAAGUACAUGUGCCCGUCUCAUUAAUUUACAUGUCACAAUUUGCCCAACAUGUGCCUGUACAUGUACAUGCAAGUAAUGUACACUUAUGCGAAACCAGUAACCACCUUCAAUCAAAUGAUCUAAACUACAUAACCCAUAUAAUUACUCCACCAUAGAUCCUACUCAAAGUUUUGGUCUCGGCACCAUUAACGUCGAUACCGAUAUAUGUAUAUAUACAUGUAUAUGCAAACCAGACUUGUCUGAGCACACUGCUAUAAGGCCGCCAUUAUUUUACCGCUCAAAAGUAACAAAACCAUUUGCCCAAUUUACCCAUUAAAUAAUGUAUUUAUACCCUUCCCACGAUAUCUAACAAUUUCUCUACUCCUCUGGAAACCCAUUGGAUGAUUUACAAGAAAUUUACAAGCCCAAGAAGAGUGAAAUUUACCUAUUUAAUUUCAGUAGCAGACAGGCCAACAACGGAGGCGACGGCAAACAUGAGGAAUGCCCCUGCCAAUGCAUGAUGGUGCUGUCACUACACACCAGCAUACUCACAAUUAUAUGUACAACAUGCACGACAUCCCUCACACAUGUACAUCAUCAUUUGAUUGAAACGCCCUUAUCAUUGUUUGUUGAGCCUCAGACAAUUCAACUCCAGGCUAUAUGUACAUGUAAAUAUACCACUACGGGUGCACUUUCUUACAUUUCAACGGAAAACUUGAAGUGUCAUCUCACAAGCUCUCUACAUAUAGUACAGUCCUUUACAGCAGGACAUUUCCGAUACUUUCCAGCACGUUCCAUAACUGACAUUUCUCCGUCUCCUACAGCAACAACCUCCCCUGGAAAUCUUUCUCCUCAUACAUAUAACCCACAGUGUACCAGUCCCCCCCCCUUAUUGACUCAUAUCUCAUCCCAAGGGCAGCCUCUUUCUCAAGCUGUUUCUUUUCCUGUUUUCGCAACAAACCCUCUUGAUACUUCUUGUUUUCACAGCAUUUUAUGACUGCAGCAGCUUCUCCUUUUUAUAUUUGUCGACUGACCAUCAUGCCUUCAACUUUUCUAUGAAGUACCUUUGCUUCUCUUUACUGGUCAAACAUCCCGUCGUGGGUUUGGCAUUGAUGCAUUUAUCAGUUGUCAACCUGUCUUUGCUACAGUCAAAAUGAAAUCAAGGUGCUUCUUGGGCCUAAAGCCGUCUACCGAGGUGAAUGAGCCGGCAGGAAAAAGUCUACAGUCCACCCUGGGGUCCUCAGGCUUGCAGAUGGGUCGAAAAACAUCGAAAAUGAAUGGGAUCUGUACUCUAAAAGCUUGGCACUGAUUGUCGCCUAACCUGUAACUUGUACAGAUUUUAAUCAUUUUCCAAGGAAAAGUAAACGUACAGCAAACAGUAUUUGCAAAGCUCAAAACAAGACUUCUCAGUAAAUGUGGAAUGCAAAGUUACAAGCUGUAACUCAUUCUAAACAGCUGUGGAUACAAAAUACUUUAUGAGACACUGUGCUAUCAAAUUUUCAUGACACUUCCCCCCCCCCUCUUUUUAUCAUUUAGUAGAAGAACUCUAGAAUGUUAAAAAGAUGUUAACUUUCCCGGAAGAGGACGCACAAUCUAGCAGAAAGAAAUACAUAGUGUAUCAUAUUUUGCAGUGUUUGCCAAGAGGAAAUUUUGUUUUGGAGAAGAAUACAAAACUGAAAACGUUCAGCAUUAGCAGCUCUUGAAUUUCUUUUCCCCCAUUCCUGUUAAUGUAAGAAAAAUGAAUUUUCAAAUGAUUGUUUUCCACGAAAAUCCUGGAGGCUGAUGCUGUUCUUUUCGUGUUUUAUGAUGUUUUAGUCGAAUAGUUUUGAAAAUAAAAGUUCAUUGUCCGAUUUGGACUGGCUAGGAGAAAUCAAUUUAACAAGAAUAAUGGACGUUUGAUGGUAAAUGCAAAAAGUAGAAUAUAAGUAUAAGUUAAGAUUUUUAACACUGCUGGUAAAAAUACGUCAUAAACUUUAAUCUUCAAUAAGCCGUUAUGGUUAGAAGUCAUUUUUUUCUUCAAUUUACCUUUGUUUAUUCAAUAUCCAAUGUCCAUGUUCCCCAGCUAUGUUCCCUCACAAAUUCCGUGUAAGGCAUUGAACUUCGAAAACCCCUGACAAUUCGAAACCCUUUUCUUUGAAAACUAAGGUAUGUCGACCCAAUUUUCUGAAAAAGGUUUACAAAGUUCGGUAUCUGAUAUUAACAGUUUGAAAUCUCGCACAGAUGUGAAGGAAUUAGCAGUUGUUUGAACUAAAUAGGCCUACACAACUUCCACACAUGAAUUCAGAAUAAUUGCUUCUGAAGCCAGAAAAAUUAUGCUAGAGCUUUUGUCUUAUCUUUUAGUUUCUUGUACCUUUCAGUAUAUCUUGAAGCGCAUAAACAUCUUGCCAUUAAACAUUGAAAAGUGUGUUGAGAUUUUUGAUAAAGCUGAGUAUUUGUUUUUGAAGAUUUGUCAGUGACUUCUUGUCAAGACUUCAAAAAUAAAGGAAACGACACCUCAGUACUGA
rnacentral:lncRNA from 1 species